rnacentral:rRNA from 1 species
AUUGAACGCUGGCGGCACGCCUAACACAUGCAAGUCGAGCGGUAGCAUGAGUAGUAGCAAUACUACUUGAUGACGAGCGGCGGACGGGUGAGGAACACGUAGGAACUUGCCUUUUAGAGGGGGAUAACUAAGGGAAACUUUAGCUAAUACCGCGUAAUCUCGAGAGAGUAAAGCUGCCCGCAAGGGUGGCGCUAAAAGAGAGGCCUGCGUCCGAUUAGCUAGUUGGUGAGGUAAUGGCUCACCAAGGCGAUGAUCGGUAACUGGUCUGAGAGGACGACCAGUCACACUGGGACUGAGACACGGCCCAGACUCCUACGGGAGGCAGCAGUGGGGAAUAUUGGACAAUGGGGGCAACCCUGAUCCAGCGAUGCCGCGUGAGUGAAGAAGGCCCUCGGGUCGUAAAGCUCUUUAGGUUGGGAAGAAGGACGUUAGGUUAAUACCCUGAUGUUUUGACGGUACCGACAGAAUAAGCACCGGCAAACUCUGUGCCAGCCGCCGCAGUAA